AGUGAACGCUGGCGGUAGGCCUAACACAUGCAAGUCGAACGGCAGCACAGUAAGAGCUUGCUCUUACGGGUGGCGAGUGGCGGACUGGUGAGGAAUACAUCGGAAUCUACUUUUUCGUGGGGGAUAACGUAGGGAAACUUACGCUAAUACCUCAUACGACCUACGGGUGAAAGCAGGGGAUCUUCGGACCUUGCGCGAUUGAAUGAGCCGAUGUCGGAUUAGCUAGUUGGCGGGGUAAAGGCCCACCAAGGCGACGAUCCGUAGCUGGUCUGAGAGGAUGAUCAGCCACACUGGAACUGAGACACGGUCCAGACUCCUACGGGAGGCAGCAGUGGGGAAUAUUGGACAAUGGGCGCAAGCCUGAUCCAGCCAUACCGCGUGGGUGAAGAAGGCCUUCGGGUUGUAAAGCCCUUUUGUUGGGAAAGAAAAGCAGCAGGUUAAUACCCCGCUGUUAUGACGGUACCCAAAGAAUAAGCACCGGCUAACUUCGUG
rnacentral:rRNA from 1 species